AUCUUACUUCCUGUUUGAGGGAGUAGCAUCAGAACCCAAGAACUUCGUGUAUACACUGUACAGCACUCAGAUACUGAGUUCUGAGCUUGAAGCAGAACAAAACAUAUUUGUGUAGAGGAAUACAUGCCACAUGCCACUCUCCAGCCUACUGUGGGUGUUGAUGGCCUUCAUCUACUCUGGAUCCAUUGUGGCCCAGAAAGUUACUCAAGUCAAGUCAGCUACAUCCACGCAAGAGGGGGAGGCCGUCACUCUGGACUGUCUGUACGAAACAAGUGCGACAGUAUACUACAUUUUCUGGUACAAGCAACUUCCCAGUGGCAAGAUCAUUUUCCUUAUUCAUCAGAGUUCUUCUAGCCAGAACGCAGAAGAAGGUCGCUACUCUAUAAACUUCCAAAAAGAAGAUAAAUUUAUCAGCCUCAUUAUUUCAACCUUACAGAUGGAAGAUUCAGCAAAGUACUUCUGUGCUCUCUGGGAGCUCACAGUGUUUGAAGUGAUAGUGAAAGCUGAGCAAAAACCUCAGAGCUCAAUAACAGAGAGCACCCUGCUACAGGGUCUGAGCUGCAACACAUACCUGCAGAUCCCAGACAAGAAAUUGUAG